GUAGGGAAUCUUCCGCAAUGGGCGAAAGCCUGACGGAGCAACGCCGCGUGAGUGAUGAAGGUUUUCGGAUCGUAAAGCUCUGUUGCCAGGGAAGAACGUCCGGUAGAGUAACUGCUAUCGGAGUGACGGUACCUGAGAAGAAAGCCCCGGCUAACUACGUGCCAGCAGCCGCGGUAAUACGUAGGGGGCAAGCGUUGUCCGGAAUUAUUGGGCGUAAAGCGCGCGCAGGCGGUCAUUUAAGUCUGGUGUUUAAGGCCAAGGCUCAACCUUGGUUCGCACUGGAAACUGGGUGACUUGAGUGCAGAAGAGGAGAGUGGAAUUCCACGUGUAGCGGUGAAAUGCGUAGAUAUGUGGAGGAACACCAGUGGCGAAGGCGACUCUCUGGGCUGUAACUGACGCUGAGGCGCGAAAGCGUGGGGAGCAAACAGGAUUAGAAACCCUAGUAGUCC
rnacentral:rRNA from 1 species